AUUCCCAGUCACCCACUCACUCAGAAAGCCGGGAGUCAUCGGACACCUUGCUGCAGGCAGAGCUCAGAGGAUCUUGGCAUCACCCACCAAAGUUAGCUGAAAGCAGGGCACUCCUGGAUAAAGCAGCUUCACUCAACUCUGGGGAAUGCUACCAUUUUUUUUCCAAAGUAGAAAGGAAGCACUUCUGAGCCAGUGACCACUGAAAGAUGAACACUCUUCCUGAUCCUCUCCUCUAGAAUUCAUCUCCUCCUGCUAGCAGCCGCGUCCUGGAGGAGCAGCGGAUGGGGAAUCCAUUCUGUUUCUUCCUGGUGUUUAGGAAGUUGCCCCACACACAGAUUGCCCCGAUGUCCAACCAGAAGAAGUGAAACUGCUGCUGGGUCUGGAGAGGUGAAGACCCGUGGCCAGCUUCUGUUGUUGCCAUCGGCCAUUGCUUUUUGUUCGCUUGCUUUUGGUUUUGCAAGAAGAGCGGCCUCUGUCUCUGAUCUGCUUCAAAUCAUCAUUCCAUCAGUGACAGAAGUGGCUGUUCCAUCAGUGGUCGCAGCCAGUUCAGCUCCUGCAUCCAUCCCCAAGUGUUCUGAGUGGAAUUUGAGGCCUCCCCAACCACCUACCAAAAAAGGAGGGUGAAAUGAAAGGAAGAAGAAAAACUCAGCAUUCUUUCCUCUGACAAAGAGUAAAACGACAAGGAAUAUCGGCCUGAAUUCUCUUCCCAAGAAGAAAGAAAGCACACCAACGCAGGCAUUUGUCUUCUGUCCAUGGUGCUGAAGUUUAUUCACUUUCAAACCACUUUCAGUAACAGGUCUGCGUUGGACACGGCAUUGUACAUGGGAUUAGCUCUGG
rnacentral:antisense_RNA from 1 species